UCUCCGUAGGUGAACCUGCGGAGGGAUCAUUACAGAGUUCAUGCCCUACCGGGUAGAUCUCCCACCCUAUGUUAUUAUUACUUUGUUGCUUUGGCGGGCCGUAGGCUCCGGCCCGACUACCGGCCCCGGCUGGUAAGCGCCCGCCAGAGGACCCAAAACCCUGAAUAUUAGUGUCGCCUGAGUACUAUAUAAUAGUUAAAACUUUCAACAACGGAUCUCUUGGUUCUG
rnacentral:misc_RNA from 1 species